rnacentral:tRNA from 1 species
AGCAGAGUGGUGCAGCGGAAGCGUGCUGGGCCCAUAACCCAUAGGUCGACGGAUCAAAACCAUCCUCUGCUA